rnacentral:rRNA from 1 species
UACGUAGGGGGCGAGCGUUAUCCGGAUUCACUGGGUGUAAAGGGAGCGUAGGCGGCCAUGCAAGCCAGGGGUGAAAGCCCGGGGCCCAACCCCGGGACUGCCCUUGGAACUGCAUGGCUGGAGUGCGGGAGGGGCAGGCGGAAUUCCUGGUGUAGCGGUGAAAUGCGUAGAUAUCAGGAGGAACACCGGCGGCGAAGGCGGCCUGCUGGACCGCGCCUGACGUUGAGGCUCGAAAGCGUGGGGAGCGAACAGG